AUGCUAAUAUUUCUAGCAUUGCUUUUUAUUAUAUGUCCAUGUCUCUCCAAAACUAUACUUGCUAGGAUUGACAAGUGUAGAAGGAGAUUCUUUUGGCAUGUGACUCAGAAUAAGAAACGCUAUUAUCUUGUUAAGUGGACUAGAAUUUGCAUAUCUAAGAAUAAAGGAGGGUUGGGUGUGAAAGAUUUACAUAAGCAGAACCUUAGUUUGCUUACUAAAUGGUGGUGGAAAUUAGAAACUAAAUCUGGCUUGUGGCAGGAUAUUGUGAAAGCUAAAUACUUUAGUAGGGCCACUGUGGCUGACAUUAAAAUGAAGAGCAAUGACUCGCCCUGUUGGAAGGCCAUUAUGAAGGUGAAAUAUCUUUAUAUGGCAGGAAGGAGAGUGAUUAUACAAUCUGGAGACAUUGCUAGGCUAUGGAUUGACCCCAUUGGGGACAAUAUCCCUCUGGCUGAACAAUUCCCUCAUUUAUUUUCUAUAUGCAACUAUCCUGAGUGCACAGUUGAUAAGUGCUUAAAUGCUGAUCCUUCUUCUUUAUUUAGAAGGAGACUGAAUAAUGAGCUCAAUGAACAGUGGCUGAUUGUGGGUAACAUGGCUAGAGAAGAAUGUGUCUCAGAGGCCACCGAUGUGAUUAAAUGGGGUCUGGGAGGGAAAUCCUCAUUUACCACUAAAUCUGUAUACUCUAUCCUGGAAAGGAAUAUUGCUGGGUGCGACUACAGAUGGAUCUGGGGUGCCAGGAUACCUCUUAAAACUCAAAUCUUCCUGUGGCAAUUAUUUCAGGAUGCUGUCCUGACUAGAGAUGUGAUGAAACAUCGAGGUUGGAAAGGAAAUCCCAAAUGUUCCUUUUGUGAUGGGCAAGAGACUGCACAACACUUGUUCUUCACUUGCCCUGUCGCUAGGGUGACCUGGAGGACAGUGGCAUGCAUGUUUGGCACUGCAAUAUGCCCCGAUAAUAUUUGGCAAGCCUAUGUGUGGUGCUUUACGUUCUUUCCUGCUGGGGAAAAGUUUUAUACAACGGGAAUUGCUGCUGUGUGUUGGGCGAUCUGGUCUUGUCAUAAUAGAGCUACCAUCGAGUUCAAACCUCUUACAAAUCCUUUUGAAUGUAUCUUCUCUGCCUGUGCUCUAAUGUGCUACUGGGCAGGACUGCUGAAGCAAGAUGACGCGACUACCAUGAGAGAUGGGGCAAAGAUGCGGAAGGAGAACGCGUCGAUGAUGAUGAGAAUCUGUGCGGUGAAUCACGAAGAAUCGGCAUGUUGA
rnacentral:rRNA from 1 species